rnacentral:lncRNA from 1 species
UCACUUCCUAGAAAACCCAAACCCCAGCCACAUCUGACCCUGCCGGAUAAAAAAAAGAAGAGCGGCUGGAAAGAAAGUUGACCACCAUCGUCGCCGCACAAAAAUCGCCGCCAACACCAGGGAUGUGAGUUUUUUCCCUAUUUCGCUUCGAAAUUCAUUUCUAAGAACUCCCAAGCCCAUAUCGGCGCCGAAAAAAUAAAAGGGAAGCCAAAAAUCAAGAGCAGAGCUCGAUCGAGUCGUCGUACUUGCAACCCAAAACCACUCCAGUGGGCCCGAUCCUGCUUCCCAUUUCCUUCAAUUUUCUGACCAUUGUGUCCCUAACCCUUUUCUGGUACAGGGCCAACAAGGAAAAUCCUCGGCCGCGAGAGAAGAACGGCGGAGCCGCCGCACCAAAAAACUACCUCGCUAGAAAGGCUCCAUUUUUCUCU